UCAAACAAAUGAUGAAAGGAACGACAGAACUGUAUUGUUACAAUAUGGCCUCUGGUAGCUGUUUAUAUCAGGAGACUACUUUUAUUUGUAUUUUUUUAUUUCCAUAUUUUUGGUUAAAAAUGUAUAUAUAUGUACAUAUGUGUGUGUGUGUGUGUGUGUGUGUGUGUGUGUGUGUGUGUGUGUGGUGUGUGUAUAUGUGCACGUGUGUGUUUAGUUAUAUAGCUAAACCUCUUUAUUCAGCAAAUAAGAGUGAGCUUAAAUAAUCUAAUAUUCCAAAAGGCAAGCAAGUAGUUCAUUUUCAAAUGCAAGUAUUUUGAACAUUUUGCAUUGCUGUAUAUGAAUGUUUAUUAUUUUCAUUACUGCUAAGAGCAACCGCAGCAUAAAAACAGCAAACAGCCUCUGCAUUUGAAUGGAGUUUGCAGUUUUGCUUUGCCCGCCCGUGAUUUGCUUGCAAGGCAGGUUUGUUUCAAAUUUAUGGAUGAGGUUACUGAAGUGCACUCAGAGACCUGCAGAAAGCACUGUGAGAAAAUGCAGGAAAAGGAAAAUCUUCAGCUACCUUGAAACCAGUGAGGUAAUCAAUGAAGCACUGGCUUCAAGCAAUCACAGGCAGACUGCCCUUUUUUGUCCUCUCUCUUCCGGCAUCGUUUCUUGAACAGACACAAAAAAAAUUUGAAAUAAUGAAUCCGGCACACAUUUUUAAAAUUUUUAUCUUGAGAUCAAAGCUCAACUCACUUCACGUCCUUAAUAAAUGCAGGUGACGGAAAUUCACAGAGGACCACUGUUCCCUCUAAGCUGCGCGCGUGCGCAAUUGCCCACUGCUGACACGGUCUCCGCACAGAAAAUCUGCGCUGCGCCCCCCCAAAAAAAAAUCCAACCUAAAUUGUAAAUAAAAUAAACACGUAACAAUUCAUUCUGUGCUAUUUUUCAAUGUGAGUCAGUGAGUGACCGGUGACUGGCUGCUGCAGCCAAUGAUGCGAUUCACAUAUGUAUUUACCAUAGACUGUAUAUAAUGGUAUUUACGCAGCUAAUCAACGUCAGGCGUCCUUAUGUGCAGCCACCAUUGUUCUCAUAGAUAUGAAUGAGUAGAUAGGACACGCCCCUUUGAGCUGCGUGCUACAGCGAGGCUAAGCUAGUGGGGGAAAAGUUUCAGUGCAUUCUGUUGAUUUAGACGGCGUGAAAACGGAAACAAGAAGUAUGCCGGCUCACUGUGCUGCAUACAGUUACACACUACGUCGUACGAUUGAGACAAGGAAACUUGGAAUGACUUUUCAUAGGUUUCCCAGAGACUAUGGGUUGAGGAGGAAUUGGAAGUUUGUCGGCUUAGACCUGGUAUCAUUCCAUCAGUGUUAAACUUCCCGGCUCAUCUUGGAAGAGUACGUGCCAGAAAGACCACGACCAAGCAGCCUUGAGAUCUUAGGCAGCGUCUCCCUGAGGUCCCUCUCUAUCUCCCCACACAUCCACCAACCACUGGAACACAUCUCCAAAGUUCUGCCGGGCCAGCUCAACUUCCCCUCAGAAGAAGUGCCGCCACCUGCCAGAUGAAGGAGCCUUUUGAGAGGCAGCUGGCAUCGUGAUUGGACUGUACUUUGGUCUGUUCCAAUCCAGCUUCAGCUCCAGAGAUGGCAGGCGGGACGAGUCAACGGAGGCCUGGUGGACGAAGGCAUGCAGCUGAGUACAAUACAGAAAACAACAGAGAAGGAGUGCAGUGGCCCAGGGCCAGAACAAACAGAGUAGCAUCAUAUGUCUCUUAGAAAACAUCAUAGUAUAGCCUUUGGUAUGAAAAAACGCCAUCAUAUACAUCGUAUAUUGUACAAAUAAAAGUCAAAGCAAAGAGACAUACAUUGUAGAAUUGUAGUAAUUGUGGGCUGACUGAUUUACUGAUUAUCAGUAUUUUAUUUUUUACUGAUUUACGGUAAUAAAUACAUUUAAAAAUGGUGCUACUUUGGCUCUGAACCUUUAUCUACCUGUGGUCGCUCUGUCUUCUGGAGUGAUUUGAUUGGUUAUAUGUAACGAAUAAAACUCCUUUAACUUAACAUCUGUAAACAAAACAAAAACGUAUCAACAAAGUUUUCUGUUAGAAUUUGUGUUCUUCUAAGUUUAACUCCAAGAUUUUAAAUACUUUAAUUUACUGCAAAUGAAUAUCUACUCCAAAUGUCUCAGUAAUAAUCAUUAUCAGCCUUAAAAACCCACAAAACACCCCUCUAUACUCGACCACACUUAGUACAGUCCGGUUCCCCCUUCUAUAAAUCUGCUUGGAAUCUUCCACUUCCUGUUUGUCAAAGUGGCCUUCUACCUGGACAGGUUUUGUUGGAGCUCAUGCAACAAACAUUUUGGGUAACUGCACUUUAAUAUGGAUGGAUGACACUGAAUUAGAGUCUGUUUUAAUGAGACUGAGUUAAGAUGUGUAGCUCUGUCAUUAAAUAGUAAAUUAUUUCUCUGAAUUCACAGAGGAAAGUCUGAAAUGCUUGCUAGGUUAGCGUACCACAUGUUCUUUGGCUCAGCUAAAGCUAACUCUCUCCAACUUCUGGAUCUCUUGAGUUGCUUGUUGUUAAAAUAUCUUGCUAGAGGUGCUGAAGCUCAGAAAGUCUGAGAUGUUUGUUCAAAAUAAGCUCAUUCUCAAGUCUUAUCUGAACUGUCCUCUUUUGUUUGAACUUUCCCUAAACUUAGGAGUUAAUGACAGAGCAGCACAUUCAGGCUCAGUCUCAUUUAUGUAGCGAUUAAACUUCAGUGUCAUUCAUUGACGUUAAAGUGCAGUUUUUCAAAUGUUUGUUGCACAUUCUCCCGACCAAACCAGUCCAGGUGGAAGACGAUGUGAAGAGAAAGCUGCAGAGGAUGAAUAUCACACACUUACAUUGGAAAUUAAUGUCCUUUAAUUAGACAUUGUCAUGCAAAAGUUGGAUUUCCCUUUAAUGAUGUUCAAAUCUUUGUUGAGUGUUUUGUUGAUGUUGGUUUCUAAAUGUUUUUUGACAAUCGGCCCCAAAGAUUAAAACCUUCUACGGCUCACAGGCCGCAACAAUUCACACAUUAUCAACUAUCUUUCUGACUAAACUAAGAUAAAAAGUGAAAAACUGCCUGAUUCCUGCAUCAUGAAUGUAAAUCUUUUUGGUUUUUAUGACAGUAAACUGAAUAUAUUUGGGUUUGACAUUUUAUAAACCAAAACAAGAAAUGAAUUACUGGAGAAAACAAUCAACAGAUUACUGGACAAAGAAAAUGUGUUUUCCAACAUAUAUGGCUGAAUUACUCCAACAUUACAAGAUACAUACAAUUUAAAUUCUAUUUUAUUUAUGUAACGCCAAAUACAGGUCAAAUUGUCUCAAGACGCUUUAUUUUUAUAUUUUUUUGUCAUACUUAAAAUAUGACAAAGUAAGAAAUUUAAACCUCUUGACUAACCCAAUUUAUUAUUUGGUUUUUAAGAGAUUAAUCGACAAUUAAAAUAACUUUCUCCACUAAAACUAAUAAACAUGAGGUCAAAUCGAAGGAACAGUUUUAAAUACUGCAGUCCCACGAUGACAAGAAUAAAGUUUGUCAACAAAAAGUAAAUCUGCUGGUGGAUUCCAUUAAAGUCCUAAUAAAUGAUAAUAAAGUGUGAUACUAAAGGUUUGUGGUGCUAAAAAUGUCAAAGUAAAGAUAUCAGGUUGAACAUGUGGAUGGAGGUUGAUAAAAGUUGAUCUCCCUUCAUUUCUCUGGAGCGACUCCAUGGAUCUUAUGGAUGGUGGUUAAAGACCUGCUCUUCUAGUGGUCUUCCUUCUAGUCGCUGUAAAAGUCAGUCCAUCCUGGCCGACUUCAACACCUCUUCAUGACAACUUGUUCUGCCUCCGACCUGGUGGAAACUCCAGAAACUCGGGAAAACCCGUGGAGACUCGAAGAACUCGUGGAGACUCGAAGAACUCGU